CCUANGGGAGGCAGCAGUAGGGAAUUUUGGGCAAUGGGCGAAAGCCUGACCCAGCAACGCCGCGUGUGGGAUGAAGGCCCUCGGGUCGUAAACCACUGUCAGGAGGAAAGAAAAGCCGGCCGGGUAAUAUUCGGUCGGCCUGACGGUACCUCCAAAGGAAGCACCGGCUAACUCCGUGCCAGCAGCCGCGGUAAUACGGAGGGUGCAAGCGUUGUUCGGAAUUACUGGGCGUAAAGCGCGUGUAGGUGGUUGGGUAAGUCGAAUGUGAAAGCCCCGGGCUCAACCCGGGAAGUGCAUCCGAAACUGCUCGACUAGAGUCCCGGAGAGGAAGGCAGAAUUCCCAAUGUAGGGGUGAAAUCCGUAGAUAUUGGGAGGAAUACCGGUGGCGAAGGCGGCCUUCUGGACGGUGACUGACACUCAGACGCGAAAGCGUGGGGAGCAAACAGGAUUAGAUACCCUGNUANUC
rnacentral:rRNA from 1 species